rnacentral:rRNA from 1 species
AUUGAACGCUGGCGGCAUGCCUUACACAUGCAAGUCGAACGGCAGCACGGGGGCAACCCUGGUGGCGAGUGGCGAACGGGUGAGUAAUACAUCGGAACGUGCCCAGUAGUGGGGGAUAGCCCGGCGAAAGCCGGAUUAAUACCGCCUACGACCUAUGUGUGAAAGCGGGGGAUCGCAAGACCUCGCGCUAUUGGAGCGGCCGGUGUCAGAUUAGGUUGUUGGUGAGGUAAAGGCUCACCAAGCCGACGAUCUGUAGCUGGUCUGAGAGGACGACCCGCCACACUGGGACUGGGACACGGCCCAGACUCCUACGGGAGGCAGCAGUGGGGAAUUUUGGACAAUGGGGGCAACCCUGAUCCAGCCAUGCCGCGUGCGGGAAGAAGGCCUUCGGGUUGUAAACCGCUUUUGUCAGGGAAGAAAUCUUCGGGGAAAAUACCCCGGAAGGAUGACGGUACCUGAAGAAUAAGCACCGGCUAACUACGUGCCAGCCGCCGCUGUAAGAC